AUCUGAUGUGUAUAGGUUUGGAGUUCUCCUUUUAGAGUUUGAGAGGUCAGAACAUUCAAAGCUAAGAUAAAAAUAACUAUGAUCAUGGCAGUGUUCGGAGACCGUUUGGAAGGAAAAAGCUUCAGUUCCUUGAGUGGGAUCACGCGCGAUCGACCUACAGGUUAGAGUACUAGCUAUCGAUGUUGAUUCGAGCCAGCUGCAGUCUUGAUCGGAGGUGAAAGUGAGCACACAACGUCCUGGGUUUACCCAUCUCUUUCUAUAUAUAUAUAUAUAUAUUGUUUGUCUUUUACUUUUUGAGAUAGUCUUAUU